rnacentral:rRNA from 1 species
UACAGUGGUCCCAAGCGUUGUUCGGAUUCACUGGGCGUAAAGGGUGCGUAGGUGGUGAGGUAAGUCGGAUGUGAAAUCUCCGAGCUCAACUCGGAAAUGGCAUUGGAAACUACCUUGCUCGAGGGUUGGAGGGGGGACUGGAAUGCUUGGUGUAGCAGUGAAAUGCGUAGAUAUCAAGCGGAACACCAGUGGCGAAGGCGAGUCCCUGGACAACUCCUGACACUGAGGCACGAAAGCUAGGGGAGCAAACAGG